UACAGAGGGUGCAAGCGUUGUUCGGAAUUACUGGGCGUAAAGCGUGCGCAGGCGGUUUGCUAAGACAGGUGUGAAAUCCCCGGGCUUAACCUGGGAACUGCGCUUGUUACUGGCAGGCUUGAGUGUGGCAGAGGGGGGUGGAAUUCCACGUGGUAGCAGUGAAAUGCGUAGAGAAUGUGGAGGAACACCGAUGGCGAAGGCAGCCCCCUGGGCUAACACUGGACGCCUCAUGCACGAAGCGUGG
rnacentral:rRNA from 1 species